CACUUCCAACCUCCAUUAUUCCUCUCCUCUAAUAUAGAAAAUACUCUAUUACCCAAGUAACCCAACCAAAGUACUAAUACUCACUUAACCUGCAAAGAAGCAACCACCGUCAACCAAAGAAAAAAUAAACCCUCCUCCCUUUUGCAUCAUGGGUAAGCAACAUCAAACUGACAACUCACGCUCCCGAAAAAACAGGAGCUAUUAAAUCCACACAAUCAAUGUAUCACAAUUGAUACAUCAGUUUUUAAUAGAAGCAACAAACCUUCCAUCUGUUCUGAUAGCUGGUUCUUCCUGAAAAGCAUCAAAGUGCUACUUUAUAGAUCAUACCAAGAUCAGUCCAUAAAUCUAUAAAUGCCAAGUCAUAGGGGACAAGCCCGAUGACCCACUAAAAUACACCCCACCAAACCAUUUAUUAAUAGACCUAAAAACCGUCAAUACAAACCCAUCAUAGGGGCCACCUCUCCACACACCAAUAUCUAAAACAUAAUUUAAAGCACAAAGGAAAUAUUAUACAUAACAACAUUUAUAAGUAAACAGGCAUUAUAUUAGUAUUUAUAAAACUUAUUAUCUAAAACUAAAAAAUAAUAACGCUCUCGACACCUAACAAACAAACCACAUAAAAUAAACUCGGCAACACUUUUUCCCGCCUGUUUACCAAAAACAUCGUCUUUUGUAAAAUUCAGAUAAAAGAUAACGCCUGCCCAGUGAACAUUUAAACGGCCGCGUUAGCGUGAGCGUGCUAAGGUAGCGUAAUAAACAGCCUUUUAAUUUGAGGCCAGUGAAAGGCAUCACGGAAAAUCCCUGUAUCUUAUGUGCUAAAAUAACUUUACCCCUGAGUGAAAAGGCUCAAAUAUUCAUAAAAGACGAAAAGACCCCGCGGAGCUUUACUUUAAAACCUCAAACCAAAACCUGGUUUACGUCAAAAGUUUGGUUGGGGCAACCUUGGAACAAACUCAACUUCCAACUCACCUAAAACCUAUACAAAAUUAGUUUUAGACCAAAAAGAAGCUACCCCGGGGAUAACAGCGUAAUCCAACUUAAAAGUACACAUCGAAAGUUGGGUUUGCGACCUCGAUGUUGGCUUAGGGUAAUCCAUAUGGUGCAGCCGCUAUAACAGGAUAGUCUGUUCGACUAUUACAACCCUACACGAGCUGAGUUAAGACCGGCGCAAGCUAGGUUGGUUUCUAUCUUUAUUGUUAACCGAUGCUCUUAAUUGUACGAAAGGACCUUAAGACAUAUACCAAAUAUACAUAUUAAACCACCACUAUAAUCACACAAUAUAAUAAAACAACC
rnacentral:rRNA from 1 species